rnacentral:rRNA from 1 species
AACGAACGCUGGCGGCAUGCCUAAUACAUGCAAGUCGAACGAGACCUUCGGGGCUAGUGGCGCACGGGUGCGUAACGCGUGGGAACCUGCCCGUAGGUUCGGAAUAACUCCCCGAAAGGGGUGCUAAUACCGGAUAAUGUCUUCGGACCAAAGAUUUAUUGCCUUUGGAUGGGCCCGCGUUGGAUGAGAUAGUUGGUAGGGUAAAAGCCUACCAAGGGGACGAUCCAUAGCUGGUCUGAGAGGAUGAUCAGCCACACUGGGACUGGGACACGGCCCAGACUCCUACGAGAGGCAGCAGUGGGGAAUGUUGGACACUGGGCGAAUGCCUGAUCCAGCAAUGCCGCGUAAGUGAUGAAGGCCUUAAGGUUGUAAAGCUCUUUUACCCGGGAUGAUAAUGACGGUACCGGGCGAGUAAGCUCCGGCUAACUCCGUG